GAUGAACGCUGGCGGCGUGCCUAAUACAUGCAAGUCGAGCGAACAGACGAGGAGCUUUCUCCUCUGACGUUAGCGGCGGACGGGUGAGUAACACGUGGAUAACCUACCUAUAAGACUGGGAUAACUUCGGGAAACCGGAGCUAAUACCGGAUAAUAUAUUGAACCGCAUGGUUCAAUAGUGAAAGACGGUUUUGCUUUCACUUAUAGAUGGAUCCGCGCCGCAUUAGCUAGUUGGUAAGGUAACGGCUUACCAAGGCAACGAUGCGUAGCCGACCUGAGAGGGUGAUCGGCCACACUGGAACUGAGACACGGUCCAGACUCCGACGGGAGGCAGCAGUAGGGAAUCUUCCGCAAUGGGCGAAAGCUUGACGGAGCAACGCCGCGUGAGUGAUGAAGGUCUUCGGAUCGUAAAACUCUGUUAUUAGGGAAGAACAAAUGUGUAAGUAACUAUGCACGUCUUGACGGUACCUAAUCAGAAAGCCACGGCUAACUACGUG
rnacentral:rRNA from 1 species